AGUGAACGCUGGCGGUAGGCCUAACACAUGCAAGUCGAACGGCAGCACAGUAAGAGCUUGCUCUUACGGGUGGCGAGUGGCGGACGGGUGAGGAAUACAUCGGAAUCUACUUUUUCGUGGGGGAUAACGUAGGGAAACUUACGCUAAUACCGCAUACGUCCUACGGGUGAAAGCAGGGGAUCUUCGGACCUUGCGCGAUUGAAUGAGCCGAUGUCGGAUUAGCUAGUUGGCGGGGUAAAGGCCCACCAAGGCGACGAUCCGUAGCUGGUCUGAGAGGAUGAUCAGCCACACUGGAACUGAGACACGGUCCAGACUCCUACGGGAGGCAGCAGUGGGGAAUAUUGGACAAUGGGCGAAAGCCUGAUCCAGCCAUACCGCGUGAGUGAAGAAGGCCUUCGGGUUGUAAAGCCCUGUUGUUAGGAAAGAAAAUCAGCAGGUGAAUACCCCGCUGUUCUGACGGUACCCAAAGAAUAAGCACCGGCUAACUUCGUG
rnacentral:rRNA from 1 species